rnacentral:misc_RNA from 1 species
CGCACAUUGCGCCCGCUGGUUUUUCCAGCGGGCAUGCCUGUUCGAGCGUCAUUUCAAACCUCAAGCCCUGGCUGCUUGGUGUUGGGGCUUUCUGCGGGUAAUAACCGCAGGCCCCGAAUGCAAUCGGCGGGCCCGUCCGCGACCCCGAGCGUAGUAACAUCACGUCUCGCCCAGGGAGUCCGGCGGGCAUAUCCGGCCGCUAAAAUCAAUAGGUCUACGGAUUCUAUUUUCCAACAGUUUGACCUCGGAUCAGGUAGGAAUACCCGCUGAACUUAA